rnacentral:lncRNA from 11 species
GGAGAAUUUCCUCUCCCUCCCUCCUGAUCUAAAUAUGUGUCUGAUUGGCGGUGGGAAUGCUGAACUCCGCAUGCACUCUUCCCACUCACCAUCAGUUUGAAUGGGAGUAGGGAGUGGGGAAGAGAAAGAGACAGUGGUGACAUGAGACAUGAAGGGAAAAAGGCCUAGAGAGAGAUUUGCUAUCAAAGGCAAGGCGCUUGGAAGAAAAGGUUUGCAACGGUAUUGGGCUCAUCCUCUUUCUGAUCCAGAAGGCACAUCAAUCACUGGGGGAGGAGAGAGUUGGAUAUGACUAGC